rnacentral:rRNA from 1 species
GACGAACGCUGGCGGCGUGCUUAACACAUGCAAGUCGAGCGGUAAGGCCCCUUUUGGGGGGUACACGAGCGGCGAACGGGUGAGUAACACGUGGGUGACCUGCCUUCAGCUCUGGGAUAAGCCUGGGAAACUGGGUCUAAUACCGGAUAUGACCUUUGCCUGCAUGGGUGGGGGUGAAAGAUUUGUUUUGGCUGGGGAUGGGCCUGCGGUCUAUCAGCUUGUUGGUGGGGUGAUGGCCACCAAGGCGACGACGGGUAGCCGGCCUGAGAGGGCGACCGGCCACACUGGGACUGAGACACGGCCCAGACUCCUACGGGAGGCAGCAGUGGGGAAUAUUGCGCAAUGGGCGGAAGCCUGACGCAGCGACGCCGCGUGGGGAUGAC